rnacentral:rRNA from 1 species
AUACGUAGGUGGCAAGCGUUAUCCGGAAUUACUGGGCGUAAAGCGCACGCAGGCGGCCAGUCAAGUCUGACGUGAAAGCUCCUGGCUUAACUGGGAGAGGUCGUUGGAAACUGAUUGGCUUGAGGCAAUGAGAGGGACACGGAAUUCCCGGUGUAGUGGUGGAAUGCGUAGAUAUCGGGAGGAACACCAGUGGCGAAAGCGGUGUCCUGGCAUUGACCUGACGCUCAUGUGCGAAAGCGUGGGGAGCGAACGGGAUUAGAAACCCUAGUAGUCC